CGACGACUGCUGCUUCCACCUCUCGGCCAAAUCCGACGCGCCCAGGCUCCCUUCUUUCUCACUACUUUGACCUCGUGCAGUUUGGCCAGCGAGACUGUGCAGUUGGUGAAUGACGGGAUUGCAGCUCCAGGCUCCCCGACUCCCUGUUGCCUCGAUCGAGGGGACGCCCUAGCAUCCUCCUUUUCCUCCCCGGUCCUCUGCUCCUCUCCUUGCGAUUCUCCACUGACGGCAAGCAGUCCAGGCCGCUCCCUAAUGCAGGACGGCUGGGUCUUCCUCUCUGGGAGCUUUUGUCGCUCUGCUGGAGCAGUCCACACAGCAGGCACACGCGGCCAUCGUCGACUCCAGUGUAGUACAGUUUUGUGCUGUGAGGCGGGCGUCCUCGGGAUUCGGCAGUGGACUCCAAACCUUGUGUUCAUCCUUUUCUCUCUCUUGGUGCAGUACAUUGCAACCUCCAGUGUCGUGUGCACGUUGACGCCUCCUGCAGUUCAGUGACGUCGGCAUGCACAAUAGCCCCAUCUCUCUUUCACCUAUGCUCCUCUCGUGUUGCUCUUCACUGAUGCAGUAUAGGUCGCUCCCUGAUGCACGUCGUCUUGAUUGUCGGUGCAGUCCGUCAGCGCACAAAAUUGUUUGUGCGGGCAAAAGCAGUUUUGUAAAUUUGCAGGGCUAUUUACGAUGUGCGAUAUUCUUACUGCAUUGAUGCAGCUAGGAACAUGAAGCGGCGCUGCAACUCAGCGGCCCGGCGGCUACUGCUGCUGCUCGGAGGCCCGGUGUUUCCCGCUGCUGCCCGCUGCCCUUUGCACCCGGGCGGCUCAUGCUACUUCUUGGUGUAUGAUGGCUCCCUUUGCUGCUCGGUGGCAUGGCGGCCACCCGGCGACCAGGUUAUAUCCGUCGGCGGGCAAAAUUGUUUGUGCGGGCAAAAGCAGUCCACCGCCGGUGUACGAUGCAGCUCCCUUUGAUUUCUUUUUUCAUUUAGUUUUGAGUGGGUUUUGUGUAAAUUUGCAGGUCUGUUUUUUGUAAGUUUUAUAAAAUGAAGUUCGAUAAAAAAACUUGGUGGUUCUCCAGACUUCUCUUUUGCUGCCCUGGAUAAAAGAAGUUAGCUAGUCUUGUCCAUGUAGUUCGGCUGCUCUAGCAAAUUCUGUUUGUAAUUGUUGGAAACACAAUAUAGUUGGUUCUGCCAAACUAUGUGGUUGAUUGUAAGUAUUGAAGAAGAGAAAAGGAUUGUGCGACAAAAAAAUGUUGACUAA